UCAAAAAUUUACUUUGUGACAAUAUUUUUGUAGACUGUAUCACACCUUGCAUUCUAAUAUUAUUUUAAUGCAGAACACUGCCCAAAAACGGAAUUAAUGCAUGUUCGAUCACGAAUUGUACAUGUUGCACGUGAAAGUCACGCAUUCAUGGUGGUAUUGAGAUUUCACGUGAACAAUAUAUUGCAACAAAUAUAGCAUCGAAUGUCAAUAUGAUGUCAGAUUAUCGUCAAUCAGCGUCUACGGUUGGUUGUAUUAUUUAGAUAUCUUCGCAUAUCGGAUUUCUUCCAGAAAUUAAACCCUCUUGGCUUCUAAUUUGCAACCGAGUACGUUUUAGUACGUUUUCAAUUGAAGACAACGAGCGUGCACAUCGAUAUUCCAAGUCAAAAUGCAAGUAAGUAAAUGGUUUAAAAUGCAAAGUAUAAAGCAUUGUCAAACACUCAUGCAUUCGCGGCUUGAUACAAAGCACGAAAACCCGUCAAAAAUAUAGCGUUUGUUCGGUUUGUAUUGGCAUUUCUGUAGCGUCAAGCAACUUCCUAAACUUGUCCAAGGCUUGGUAUAGGAAAUAUAUACAUAGUGCAGCCAUAUUGCAAUAUGCGCAGAUGCAUACGUUCUCAAUUUGGCUUUCAUCAUAUUUAAAUAAACAUGUCACUGUGUUCCCAAUCUUGAAGGGUGAAGCAAGAUCUAUUCAGCUUAUACACUGUACGUCCGGGUAUUUACAAAGGCUUCAAUGUAUCACAUUAUCCUGUAGUUCAAUGCUCUUACAGUAAUUUAACGUUUUAAUAUAUCGUAUGGAAUUCUUUGGCUUCCCCUAUACACUAUAGAGUUUCAUACUGCUUAGAAUAUAGGAAAGAAGCACAUCAGAGCAGUAGCAAUUUAAUUAAAUAAUGGAUGUUUCAGCUUUGUAUCUGACUUCCAGUAUCACUACCUCUUUAUUGUUAAUUUUAAAAAAAGUUAGAAUUUCAGUUCAGAACCUCUCUAUUGUGACUAGUUCAACCCAGAAGGGUAAUACCCUAGUAAGCAGGUUACCCUGAUCUAUUGUCUCCUUUGUGCAUGAGGUAGGGUUACAUGUCAAAUAGGUGAAGGUAACCCUUCAUAGCAGAAGGGUUCUGCUUUUGCUUACGUAAGCCACAUAAACACAUCGGUUAGGCUUCCCAGAACUUUACCAAGUGGGUGACUGUAUGUUAUAUGUCUUCAUUAAUUUAGUUACAUUAUUAUGUACAGCAUUUUACGACUGUCUAAAUGCCAGACACGAUUUAAGUAUAAUGGAUGUUGUAGCUUUGUUAUCUGAAGAUUUGACUAGUUCACUGUUCAGACUUGAGCUCCAGUACCACUACUGUACCUCACAAUGGCAUAGUACAGUAGUCAUAAGUACACAGUCAAAUCUGGACCUCUCUAUUGUAACUAUUGAAAAAAGUUUAACCCAUUAAGGGCCUUAUUUACUGGGAUGUAGGGUGACUCCAGCAGAAGGGUAAUACCCUAGUAGGGGUUACCCUAGUCUAUUGUGUUUGUGCAUCUAGGGUAGGGUUACCUAUCGAAUGGAUAGGUAACCUAAUAGCUAGUGGGAGAGCUCUGUUUGUUUAUGUAAGCCAUGCAUAUAAACACAUCAGCUAGGUUAGGGUUACCAAGUGGGUUACUGUAUGUUUUAUCUCUGUUGAAUCUAAACCGGGUGAAUAUUUUAACCCAUUAGGAUACUAUUACAAUGCCGUUGGAAGCAAAUUGUUAUUGGGCAGGCUCAAAAUUUUUUGUCGUUUUAUUUCUAAACUUGAUGUUGUCCAUCAAGAAUUUUUGUGAAACUAUUACAGUAUUACACUAGUAGAGACACUUUAUCGUGACAGUAAAAUCUUCUGGAGUAAUAGACAGUGCGAGUAAAUUUAAAUAACUUGGGCCCAUCAAGGUGCAUUUCCACAAGGUUAAAAGGCUGCCACAUCCCACAAGCCAUUUUGGUUUUGCGUGAAAUAAGCGAUUUAUAUAUAAUUUACGAAUUCAGUUGUCAGUGAUUUUCACAUAUUUCAGAUUUUAUUAUUUUUCUUGUUUAACCAUGGUAAUCAAGACCCAACGUUUCGACACUCCAGUCUAGUGUCUUCAUUAGGGGUUAUCUAAAGUUGCAAAUAAUGUGGCUUCUUAAAUACUCAAGGCCAAGGGAUGAUGUCAUCAUUUUUGUACUUUGUUAAUUAAUUAAAGAAAGGUAAUAUUUGUGGGAUGUAGGCUGUUGCAUAUUUGAAAAAAAACGAAAACCAAUACCGGAAAAAUACCAAUAUAUCGAUAUUUUUUCACAAUUGUGUUUUGCAAAAUUUGCAUCUCACCAGAUAAAUAAUGUACAAUGAAGUUAGUUUUUGUUUUUUUAAACAUUUGUAAUCCAGCGUUGUUUACGUUCUAAUAAACAUAUAGCUGUAUUACACCUUGCAAAAACAACGUAAACAAACAGGUUCAGCUCUCACUCUAACCCUAAUUAUGGAUUUUCCUGCAGAGUUAGCACAUUGAUCAUCUUUGUCCUUUUGAAAUAACUCCAAUCAGCACUUGAAGAAGCUUGAUAUGACAUUUGAAUAUAUACAAAAUAAUGUAAAUGUGAUAUUGAUAAUUUAACUGAGAAAUAUUGAUAUUGGGAACUAAAUUCACUUGGAGAUAAUUAGCAUAAAUAUGGGACAUAUACUGUACAACAUGCAUGGAUAUAUUAACCAAUCAUAAUGUAUUAUAAUAAACAUGCCUAUUGUGCUUUUUGCACUAAGAGGCAGAAGUUUUGAGGUUGUGAGUUUUAAUUGACCUUCGAGGGCAACGGCUUGAAAUGCAACAUUUUAAGCACUGUCCAGUGGGAUACUAGAAGUUUACGUGAAAUCUGGUAUCCACCCAACCUGAUUAUCAGGUUGAUAAUUAUCUGUAAAGAUGUUUGUGAUGUGAGUGUGUAUCGACCGACACACCGAGCAAGCUUGAAAAGUACUGUAUGCCUGGUCAUGGUGGAAAUCGAACCUACAACCUUUGGAAUACUUAAGCCCAAUGCUCUGCCAACUGAACUAGCUGCGCUGUCAGGUCGGUUCGAGUAUGUGAUAUUUCAGAACUGAGUGUAGUUCCAUCGAUAUCAAUGUGAUCUAAUAAUCAUGAUUUGCUGUGUUGGUGUUGUGUACUCACCAGGUUGAUAAUUAUCCACCACAAAAAAUCCAGUAGUAUCUCACAUUUGAAUAGUAAUAUUCAAACCUUGAAACAAUACAAAAGGAGUUGUCAAUUGCAAUGAAUUUGAUAUCAUUCGAAGGAUUCAUAAACAACAGAAAAAUACUGUAUCUGUGGAGGACAGAAAUUUAUUUAGUACCCCAAUGGACACUGAGCAUGUGAUGUCCAGCAUCCAAUUUUAAAUUAUGGUAUUUCAUGGAUAUCGGGAUGCUGCAAAUUUCAAGCCCUGGGCAACACAACUUCAGUUGAAUUAGCUGUACUAUAUGUAUUCACAAACUCAUGGUAAUGUUUGAUUUUAUUGUUUUUUUAGGAGAAACAUAUAAUGCCAGUCAUGAACACUUCUAAGUAUCUAGAUGUCUGCUCUGGUGGUGAUUGUAGUACAUCAUCCUCGAUUGUGUCACUUUCAAAUGAACACUUGUGCCGUAUUUGUCGUGAAACUGAUAAGAACGGAGACCUCUUUUCGCAUUGUCAAUGUAAAGGUUCAGUUGGUUUAGCACACACAUCUUGCUUGCUCCACUGGAUAAAGAAAUCUGGAUCAGUAACCUGUGAGUUAUGCAAACAGAAAUAUGUCACCAUUGCUCAUGUCAACAAAAGGUUUUGGCAG
rnacentral:lncRNA from 1 species